GACGAACGCUGGCGGCGUGCCUAAUACAUGCAAGUAGAACGCUGUAGGGAGGAGCUUGCUCUUCUUGGAUGAGUUGCGAACGGGUGAGUCACGCGUAGGUUACCUGCCUUGUAGCGGGGGCUAACUAUUGGGAACGCUAGCUAAUACCGCAUAACAAAGGGUGACCCAUGUCAUUAAUUUGACAAGAGGAAAUGCUCCACUACAAGAUGGACCUGCGUUGUAUUAGCUAGUAGGUGAGGUAACGGCUCACCUAGGCGAAGAUACAUAGCCGACCUGAGAGGGGGAGCGGCCACGCUGGGACUGAGACACGGCCCAGACUCCUACGGGAGGCAGCAGUAGGGAAUCUUCGGCAAUGGGGGCAACCCUGACCGAGCAACGCCGCGUGAGUGUAGAAGGGUUUCGGAUCGUAAAGCUCUGUUGUAAGUCAAGAACGAGUGUGAGAGUGGAAAGUUCACACUGUGACGGUAGCUUACCAGAAAGGGACGGCUAACUACGUG
rnacentral:rRNA from 1 species